rnacentral:lncRNA from 1 species
UGAGCUGGGGGGAGACUUUAUUCUUUUCAAGGAAAAAGUGAGAACAGGAAUGAGACGAAGUGUAAAAGGGGAAGGAGGGGGCAAUACUGAUACGAGAACAACAAGUCCAGUACAACACGGCAGCCAGCUGACACCAUCACCAAGCCCCAGGCCAAGCACACCCGAUCUCUUCUCUCAUCAGACUUGGAAGAAAACGGGAAACUUGGGACUCUGGAGCACCAAGAUGGGGUGGGGGUAGCGGGGUGGGGUCAAUACCGACAGACUUGCAGCUAGCACCUGGCCAGCCCUGCCUGGUCUGGGUCAGACCUCCCCUCCUACCCCACGCACCCCUCUUUAGGGCACACCUCCCUGCCCUUCCCUGGUUUCUCAGUGGGACGAGGGAGGUGGGGAGUUCAGCACAGCGGGACUCUGGCACUCAGAACACAGUCCAUAGGCUAGGCCCCCAGCUCACACUUUCCUUGUACUUCGAGGCCAGAGGGUGGGCCUGGGGGAAGCCAACAAAGCUAAGCUGAAAACCACCCAGGCAAGGGACCCAGGCACACAGGCCUCUGGGCACACUCCUGGUCAGAAGGAGACCCAGUCCUUGGGCCAGGAAGUCAAGUCCAAGUUGGAAGUGGCUGGGAGGGGAGGAUGCCGUGAGAUGACCCAGGGUCAGAAACCAGAUGUGGCCAAACUCGGGCUCUCCCUGCAGCUAGGCUGGCCCUAGGCUUCGUCAUGGCACCUAGGGGUGGGAGGUGCAGCUCUCCGUACCUGGCCACGCUCAGGAAGGAUGGGGUGGCUGCUGAGAGGGGCCAGGGGAUGCCCCGACCCCCAGGGACAGAGGAGCCCACACCGAGUGCUGGGAGGCAGCCCUGAGUCUGGAGGAGCCGGGCCUGGUCUCUCAUGGGAAGUGAGAUGAGGUGAUGCUGACGAUGGUGACUAAGGCCCCAAGUCCCUGCCCCCUGCCUCCCCAGAAACUCUGCAGCCAGGCCGGCCCCGCGCGGAGCAGAGCCUGUGUAAACACGCCCAGGAGGGGAGGAGGGCUUGCUACAUAUAUUUGAAAUGUGUUAAAAAAUAAAUUAAAAAAGCACCGCUGUAUCCCGUGGGUGUCCACAGGCCCGAGGUCUCAGCGAGGAAAUGGGGAGGUGCUAGGGGCUUCUCGGUGGGGGCGUCGGCUCCCUCCCCCGACAGACAGCAGCUGGGGCUGGGGCUGCAUUCUGCUUCCUUCUCCCCAAGGGGCUCGGGAGGGAGAUGGGGGACCAGAGCACCCCAUUGGGUACCCGUGCCAGGAGCAGCUCUCCCCCACAUCCCUGACCCCAGCACCCCCUCUGACGUCUCACCCUCAAGCUCUGUGGUUCACCUGCCUGGUGGACAUCACAAGGCACCUGCCUCCACACCCACAAAAGGCCCUGUUUUCAGCCUCAUGCCUCCCAAAUGGAUCCUUCUCUGUCCCAGGUGAAGGUGUGAACGUGGGGCCCCCCCUCCUGAAAACUAGGAUGGGAUGGGAGGCUGAGUUGGGGUUCACAGUGGCCCCCAGACUGCUCUGGCCGUGAUGUAGCCCAGCAGGCUGCUUAGGCACCUUGCCAAGGGUCCACUGAGCCAGGAGGAACCCAAGGGAGUGAGCAGCCGGCUUCUCUGCCUGGCCUGACUCUGGGCCAAGAUCUGCUGGUCUGAAGAGCUGCCAGCUCGGUGCCUCUCCUGGUGGGCACCCGCGUCAGCAGACGCAUCCUGUCUCCAUCUCUCCCUUUCUUGGCUCCUCAGGCCUCAUCCAUCUCUCCCCAGCAGACUGAGAACAGCACUGUUUCUAUUCCACUCCACCCCUCUUCCCUGGUGGCUCAGACGGUAAAGCGUCUGCCUACAAUGCGGGAGACCUGGGUUUGAUCCCUGGGUCGGGAAGAUCUGGAGAAGGAUAAUGGCCUCCCACUCCAAUAUUCUUGCCUGGAAAAUCCCACCCAUGGAGAAGCCUGGCAGGCUACAGUCCAUGGGGUUGCAAUGAGUUGGACACGACUGAGUGUCUCUGGUCUGCAGGGAGAGUCGGGUGGGAAGGAGGCAGCUGCUCAUCUGGGAGCAGCCGCUGUGGCGAGGAUGCUGCCCUCGGAUGUCCAGCCUGCUCUGGGACACCUAGAACUUCCAUCCCUUCCAUCUCCACGCCAUCUCAGUGCAUCCAUCUCCCCAGCCCAAGCUCUUGCUACUCUCUUUAAGAUUACAGACAGUCAUUCUUUUUCGGGUUGGGCUUUUAAAUUUUCUGAGUUGAUUGCCACCAUUUACAAAUCUGCAUAUUUCACAUAAAAAUUCAGAAUUCUGCAAUGAAAAAACAUCUGGCCAUCUGGUAUGCAGGGCCUGCCUUUAGAUCCGCUGAGCACCAGCAGCUGAGGCUGGCCUUCUUUAGUUGGCCACAGUCCCCACCCAGCCCUGCAGCCCUCCUUCAAUCAGCUGCUCGGCCCUGGGGGAAUCUGAGUUCACAACUCUGGGCUUUUCCUCUUUCAGAGCUCAGUCACGCCCUCAGUUCCUAGGCAACCUUAUUGACAGUUGCCUCUCAGUAUUAAGAAACCUUAAUGGUCAUCUCUUCCAGUUAUCCUCCCGUAACCUAAAUCCGGUCUAUAGCUUUCUAGAUGACAAGCAACCAUCUAAUCUUUGCUUGAAUAUCUCCAGCAAAG